AGAAACUUAGGAUAAUCUAAACCAAGGACCUUCAAAGUCCUAAACAGAAGUUAAUCCUUCUAGUUUCUG
rnacentral:tRNA from 1 species